AUUGAACGCUGGCGGCAUGCUUUACACAUGCAAGUCGAACGGUAACAGGCCGCAAGGUGCUGACGAGUGGCGAACGGGUGAGUAAUGCAUCGGAACGUGCCCAGUCGUGGGGGAUAACUACUCGAAAGAGUAGCUAAUACCGCAUACGAUCUAUGGAUGAAAGCGGGGGACCGUAAGGCCUCGCGCGAUUGGAGCGGCCGAUGUCAGAUUAGGUAGUUGGUGGGGUAAAGGCUCACCAAGCCAACGAUCUGUAGCUGGUCUGAGAGGACGACCAGCCACACUGGGACUGAGACACGACCCAGACUCCUACGGGAGGCAGCAGUGGGGAAUUUUGGACAAUGGGCGCAAGCCUGAUCCAGCAAUGCCGCGUGCAGGAAGAAGGCCUUCGGGUUGUAAACUGCUUUUGUACGGAACGAAACGGCUCUGGUUAAUACCCGGGGCUAAUGACGGUACCGGAAGAAUAAGCACCGGCUAACUACGUG
rnacentral:rRNA from 1 species